rnacentral:misc_RNA from 1 species
GAUGAAGAACGUAGCGAAAUGCGAUAAGUAAUGUGAAUUGCAGAAUUCAGUGAAUCAUCGAAUCUUUGAACGCACAUUGCGCCCGCCAGUAUUCUGGCGGGCAUGCCUGUUCGAGCGUCAUUACAACCCUCAGGCCCCCGGGCCUGGCGUUGGGGAUCGGCGGAGCCCCCCGUGGGCACACGCCGUCCCCCAAAUGCAGUGGCGGUCCCGCCGCAGCUUCCAUCGCGUAGUAGCUAACACCUCGCGACUGGAGAGCGGCGCGGCCACGCCGUAAAACUCCCAACUCUUCUGAAGUUGACCUCGAAUCAGGUAGGAAUACCCGCUGAACUUAAGCAUAUCAAUAAGCGGAGGA